UGGUUUUUCGAGACAGGGUUUCUCUGUGUAGCUUUGCGCCUUUCCUGGAACUCACUCUGUAGACCAGGCUGGCCUCGAACUCACAGAGAUCCACCUGGCUCUGCCUCCCAAGUGCUGGGAUUAAAGGCGUUCUUGAGUUUUUAAUGAAGUCAUUUUUAAGUUGGCAAGGUAUCUUCACAAUGUUUAUAUUAAAAUCUAAUUUUGAUUAUGUGGUCUGUUUCUUUUUCUUUUUUCUUUUCUUUUCUUUCUUUUUUUUUUUUGGUUUUUCGAGGCAGGGUUUCUCUGUGUAGCUUUGGAGCCUGUCCUGGAAUUCACUCUGUAGUCCAGGCUGGCCUCGAACUCACAGAGAUCCACCUGCCUCCUGAGUGCCGGGAUUAAAGGUGUGCGCCACCAUCGCCCGGCAUGUGGUCUGUUAUUAUUUUGCUAUCAUCUUUGUAUGUGUGUGUUUGUGUGUGUGUGUGUGUGUGUGUGUGUGUGUGUGUGUGUGUGUGUGCGUGUGAUGAAAAGCCUAUAGUAUGUUCACUAGGUUAAUCACACAUAGUAUCGUUUACAUGCGGGACGUACACUUACACCGUGCUGUUUAAUACAGUAGCUGCUGGACACAUGCGUCAGAUGCGCCAGCCAUGUGUCAGCUGCUAGUAGUCACUCCUGUGUAGCGCUGUCAUAUCGAAGAGCACAGAAGACUCGUGUCGUCAUAGGCAUCACAGGAGUUUUAUUAGCUGGCACUGAUGCCCGCCACCCAGUCUUGGAAUUUCACCGGUGAGGCUCUCGGGAUACUCUGGGGGCGUUAUGAAGAGCUGGCAGAGAGUUCUCUCCUUUGCAUGAGAAAGGGAAAUAGCAUGGGGAAGACAGGCGCCGUUUGCAAAGAGCCUUGGAGGCUAUGCUUCCAAACAUGUUCGAAUUACAGAGAAUUCAGUGCAGAGCGAAAAGGAGAGCUGGCGUAAAAUGCAGAUGUAGGAAGGGAUGGCCAUCCAUUUUUUUUUUUUUUUUUUAAACUGGAAACUGAAAAUGAAGACUUUCUGCCACAGGAAAGGUCAGAGAUACGUUAGUGAAAGAGAAGAACCUCUGCCUCAGGUAUCUGCAUGGGGAGGAAAAGGUAGAUGCCCAAGAUAGGGCAGAGGAAGGAAAUGCAAAUCUGGCCCCUGGUAAGUGUGAUAAGGAAGGGGCGAUUCAGGGAAACUGAAGAGAAAGCAGAGAGGAUCGUGCAGACUCAGAGCCAUGGGGGACAGUCUAGUUGCUGAGGCUGAAGACAGCUUGGGAGGGAAGAGAGCUCGCGUUGUUAUCUGUUUUCACAGACUGGGUGGCCGGCCGUGCCAUCGUCUGAAAACAGGAAGAAAUGUGGGGGCUGAUGGAGUUAGGGGUCACUGGGUAAGUCAGUCACAAUAAACGAGGCUGACGGAAGGAAGUGGAAGGGCUUACCCGGGAAGGAAGAAAAUAACCAGAAUCUCUGUCUGAGGGAGGCUUUCUGCUGGAAGAGGAAGGGUGCCAAAGGAAAUAGAAAGCUUGGUAAAGUGGACAGAGGACAGAACAGGUCAGGCCCGGAGGGUAACCAUACAGGAAAACCCCAGGACAAAGGAACAGCCCAAUGAAUCCCAGAAAAAGAAAACUUUGAGAUAAGACUAGAGAGCAAUUAGCAGAGAAAUGCCUGGCCUUUAGGCUGUGAUUAACGGAUAGAAAUCUCCAGAAUCCUGGCAUUUUAUGGAGAGAAGGUGUGCACAGAGGCUCAUGGGAUAACAGCGUAAGGAAUGUAGCUCUGGAAGUCAGUCUUUAAAAACCCAAGGGGUGUGUGUGUGUGUGUGUGUGUGUGUGUGUGUGUGUGUGUGUGUGUGUAGUCAGUAAAAACCAAACCUCAUCAAGGGCAUGGAUUACUCACAGGGGAUGGUUUUUCUUAAGCAUGAUUUUUCUUUUCUAGCCUGACAAAUCCAGUUUAAAAAAAAAAAGAAAAAAAGACUUACCUUUCACUUGCAUUAUACAUGGCUAAGAUAUUGCCUAGGACAAGAGGAUGGGUGUCUUUGGAUAUAAUGGGAAGGAGCAGACGUAAGCUAGGAUACUAGGUUCAUCUUUGUUGGUUCUUUAAAUUCUACUUUGAACAUUCCUUAGGCUGCACUGAGUGAGGUUAGAGUAUGUUUUCUCUACAAUAAUAAUCAGGUCCCACAUACUAGUUUUUUUUUUUAAUGAAACCAUCAGGAAUUUUUUCUCAAGAGUCUAAUUUCUCUAAGAGUAUGUAAUAUAAUGUCCAGGUUCAGCCAUGGAUAGGAACAAAUAGGGAAAAAAAAAGAAUUUUCAAAGGUACAGGUUCCUCGUCACAAACUUAAUCUAUAUUUUGCCUCAAGUAUGUUGAAGCUUAUCAUAACCGGUGCCAAUCCUGUGUCUUUAUAAUGUUUAAAAGAUUGUUCCAGCUUCAACUGCAGCCUCUGGGUGAAAACAUGUGGUAUUUACCUUUCUGUGUUUGACUCAUUUUUCUUAACACCGUCUCCAGUUCCCUCCAUUUCCUAGAAAAUGACUUGCCUUACUGGCUUUUCUCUAUGCCAUAACACUUUUAAAAAAGCUUUGUAAACAUUUAUUUAUUUAUGAGUAUAAUGUGGUGCAUGGUCAGAGGACAACUUGUGGAAGUUAGUUUUCUUCUUCUAAUUAUAUGGGUCACAGGGAUCCAGCUGGGGCCUUCAGACUUGGUCACAGGGGCCUUUUCUGGCUUAACUAUUAUCAACACCCCAUCCCAAAUAACAUGAAGUAAUUCUUUUAAAUCUACCAUUGUUUUCAAUACUUGGUGAUGCAUUUAGGAAAUGUAUGUGGUUGGUACAGAGUACAUUAAAUUUCCUUUAAAGAAUAUCUUGGUAGUUCAUUGAGAGUUUCCUAGAAUGUGUUUUAGGAUCAUAUUUAUCCCCAUGUCUCUCCUAGUUCAUUUCCCUUCCUUACCUACCUACCCAACUCUACUCCUGCUCUGUCUUUCUCUCUCUUUUAUCUUUCAAGAAUAAUUUGUGCUGCCCAAAUAUUCUUGGAUGUGUGGUAGUCCACUGGAGAGGGUCACCUUACCAGGGUCUACACUUUCCCAGGAGCUAACAAUACUUUCCUGCUCUUUCUGUUAGAAUAUAUCUAGGAAUAUUACCAUCUAAUGAAACAUUCAGAAACAUGUCAUAUGACGUAAAGAGCUUUGUAGAAAUUUAGUUCUCCAUAAAAACAUCACAUAUUAUACUAGUUGUAACAUUUUUUUUCCUCUACAGAAAACAUAUUGUAUAAACAGUUAAUAUUUAGCCCUUGCCUACAUCUUUCAUUACUAUUUUAUAUCAGGACAAGACAUUGGAGUAAAUGCCGCUUCAGUGCACAUGCAGGUUUCUAAUCUCCCGGCAGCCUUCUGGUCGUCUGUUGACAUGUGCGAGCGACGGUCCAAGGCAGAAAUGAUAGAGGCUCUGUGAUCUGUCUCCCUGAUGACAAUGACUGUGCCAGCCAGGAGGGGGCCUCUCACCUCACAUUCCACAGUCACUUGAGCAGCGACAGCUGCGGCCUUAGGGAAAACCAGAGCACUGACCUUUCUUUCCACUGUGUUCUCAGGUCUGCGAGGAAUGUACAGACUUGCUGCAGUUGCUCUGCAGGACAACAGUAUUUCACGUCUGUCACAGAGCCAGUUCCAAUUUGGGCCGUACUGUAACAACCAUCCGAGUACCGGGCUCCAUGUACUAAGUUUCACCUGCGGGUUCGCACAUUCUCACCGGCGAAUUCUAUGACCCCCAUGUUAUAAAUAGAGGAAAUCCUCAGCGUGUGUAACGGAGGACGAUGAGUCAGUGCUAUAAAUGGUACUCUGAUGGUACUUCUAGUCUCUAAAAACUCUCCACCAUUCAUUUUCUCCCUGUAAAAAAAAAAAUCCUUAGGUAAGAUGGGGGCCAUUUGUGGACAGACAUCUGGGUGGGUAUGAAAAGUUACCAACUUAAAGCAAUGGCUCUAGUUUAAUUUAGAAAAAGGCACAUCACCACGCUUCAGUGACAGAGAGCAGUGCCGUUUAUAUUAUUUGUCUAUUGUGGUUGCUGGGUUUCAACUGUGACUCACCCUCAGUUUCCCCUGGGUUUUCAGAGAAGGCAGAUAGAUACUCGAAAUUCCCCAUCGAGUCUUCCCCUCUCUGUCUAGAUGUAUCCUGAGGUUGUGUGACGUGACUGUUAGGAUAAAGCUGCAGAAAUGUACUUUUGUGGGUUCCGGGCAAGGUGAGCCACGAAGAGAUCACACCGUGCGCCAGAUCCAAUCUAACCCAAAAGCCUUACCAACGUUUGUGCUCUUUGGAACUUCACGGAACUCUCUCAUCAGCGAAUAGGGGUUUUCAUUAUGUAAAGCAGACGAAGAAACCAGUGGUCUAAUGUGGUGAGUUUCUAUGUCAUCUAAGGAUGGCAAUACAGGCUUGCGGUUGAAGUGUGAGUACUGUGAGCCUUGCUCUUCCUGUGUUUCUGCUACACAGGGCAGUGUGUGGCAUAUAACAGGAACCUUAUGCUAUUUAUUGAAGGAAAAGGGUGGGUAAAUGGAAAAUUUACCUGGUACUUUCAGGAGGAUCUUCUGUUGAAAGAGGAUGUUAUCUUGCGAAGACAAUACAAAACUCUCAGUGAACUCUUCUAAUUACUUCUUUACUUCUAAUAAUUUUCCUCACCUUAAUGCAUACAUAACUCAUGCCUUAGAGGCAUAACAUCUUAGUUUGCUGUUGAUAAAAUGCUGACCAAAAGCAAUUUGAGGGUAAAAGGUCUAUUUGGCUUACACUUCUACAUCAUAGCCCAUCAUCUUGGAGAACCAGGAUAGGAGCUAAGGCAGGAACCGAAGCAGAGACACAGAGGACCACUGUUGCCAGUUUGUUUUUCAUGGCUUUCUCAGCUUACACAAUCUAGGACCACCUGCCCAGGGGUGGCACAGCCCACAAUGGAAUGGAUCCUCCCACAUCAAUCAUUAAUCAACAAAAUGCUCAAAGACAUGACCACUGGCCAAUCUGACUUCAGUAACUCCUAAACUCUUCCUGGGUAACUCUAGUAGGUGUCAAGCUGGCAAUUGACAAGCACAGAUAAAGACAUGAUCUUUGUCUACAACUUACCUUCUUUACAGCUAGCAAUGCUAGUGACUUUUAGUCUUUCGGGUGUGUAAUAUUGGAGAACUCAUGACUUUCUUCAAUAAGUGUUCUGGUGUGCCCUUCCCAGCAUUCAAAGAAUGUGAACUCUGUGUGUAUUAUUGAUUUUCAGUUUAGGUACUCUUCAGUUCUAAUUCAUUAACUAUAAUUAGGGCUCUAUUAAUAUUGUUAUACUGAAUUUUAAUUUAAAAAAUUAUUGUCAAAGACUAAUAUUUCUGAUGAGUCCAAACAACUAUUUGAUGAUAUUUUAUUGAAUAAUAAUCAUUAGAACAUUCUGAAAAUCUUGUUUUUUGAACCACUAAAUUUAUUUCAUAUGGACAUCAAUAAUAUUGCAUCAUAUGCAUAGUUAUUUUAAUUUUCAAGCUUGGGUGCAAUGUGCCUUUUUCUGGAUUUUAGUUCUUUCACAUGGGAUACGGAUAUACUUUCUAUAUUUUGAACAGUUAGUAGUGUUAAGAGAAUCAAUAUAAAAACACCUAAAUUAUUAUUCCUGCAUUAUUAAGAAUCUUCUGUUGAUAAUUGUCCAAUAUCAGUAUCAUUUGUUAUCAGCAUAUGGGGUAGGUGUCCAGGAGGUGAAAAUGAAAACAGACAUCGACUUUACUCUUGAAUAUUCACAGAUCUAGUACUUAAAGAAACAAAGGAGUCAGACCUGGUGACCUGAGUUCAAGUCCUAGGAUCCACAGAAAGAUGGAAGAAGAAAUCAAGAAAGAUGAAGAAACAGAGCUUAGAAAUAUAAAUCUGUGUAAAAUAACAUAAAAACUCACCGUAGACUUACCGAGACAAACACAGAGUCUGUGCUGAAAACCUUCAAUAUCUCUUAUAAAAGAAAUGAAAAUGACCCAGAAUGACACAUCCCGCUUCAGGCUAGAAGUCUGAACAGAGCAAACAUUCUAACUGUUAUCCAAACGGGUAUGCAGAUUCGGUAGAAUUUCAUUUCAAUUCCCAAUAACAUGAAUUUAGACACAGACAAAUCUAUUUCAGAUUUUCUUUCAGCCAGACAUGGUGGCGCAAGCCUUAAGACCAGUACCCAGGAGGCAGAGGUAGGUGGAUCUCUGUGAGCAGGUCUGCCAGUAGGGGCUGCAUAGGGAGACACUGUCUAAUAAAUAAAUGAAGAAAAAUCAAUCUAAAUAAAUAAAUUGAAAACAAAAUUUAAAAUGCCUGUUAUAACACCUGGAAUAAUGUUUGAAGUUGUUUGAGAUUUUUGUUUUUGUUUUGAUUUGCCAUUCAUCCUCCCCCCACUCCCUUGUUUUAUAUUUUUGGAUACCAUCUUGUUAUGGAGCACAGACCGGCCUGGAACCACUACUAGGUGAUUUCCAUAUUAAAGCUUUCUCUUAGGACUGUGGUAUGUGCACAAUGAAUAUGUUUACCAAUGCAUUAAAAUCUAUCAGAUGUUUCAAUCCCACUGCAAAAAAAUAUUUGAACAACUUUAAUUCGGAAAAGAUUUAAGGGGGCUGAAGGGGCAGCUUUGUGGUUAAGAGCACUUACAGAUUUUGCAAAGGACCUGGGUUUGGUUCCUCGAACCCACAUCAGAGGGCCUACAGCUUCCUGUGAUUCCAGUUCUCGAGGAUCUGAUGCCUUCUGAACCCCUCGGGAACUUACACCUACACUUAUGUGGUGUGCGAAAACUUGUGUAAGCACAUGUACAUAUACAUGGGAAUUAAGUCAAUCUAAAAAAAAAGAUUUGAGAAGUGAAGGGUAACGAGUGGAAAUUCAGGCUUUUGUGGUCAAAUGCAUCACCUGUUAAUCACCAGCUGUGGGAGUUUGAGAUAAUUAAGACGUCUCUCCAUGUCUUUAUGAUUCAAAGGGUAACAAUGAAAGGAUCUAUUGCAAUAGGUUUGAGGGCUGAAUGAACUCUGACUUAUGACACAAAAUGCCUGGAAGUGAUAAAAAAAAGUCCUGGGGUUCAUUAGAAUUUGGCUUUUUCUUGGUGCUUUCAUUUUAUAGCAAACUAUUGAUUCUAUUACCGAGAAAGCUUUCAUAUGAAAAUCUUCUAGUUCAUAGGUUCCUGCAUGUGAUUGAUAGUAUCAAACAAAAAUUUCAUUGAUAAAGUUCAUGCAGUAUUAGAAAUGAAGACAGCCACUAUCAUUUAGCAGCUGAGCUAUUAUAGCUACUGUGUAAGGAAGUUGUGUUUUUACUCUACUGAAUCUGCUCAACCACCCGGAACCGCAGUAGAAUUCUUAGAGAUUCCGAGUGGAGUAAGACAAAUUCUGCUUCAGGAGUUCCACAGAUAAACAGAGGCAUUUAAAUAUAAAUUAAAAUAUCUGGUUGCCUAUUUUUGCUUUCUUAUGGGAAAUAUGAUAAAGGCUGAUUGAUGAGGGAUUAAUUUCUCUUCUUUCUAUGCUUCAAUUCUUCUUAUUGACUGAAGCACGCAAACCCUAAACUUCUUUUUUUUUUUUUAACUGUUGUUGAUGUUACUGUUGGAUAUAAGUCAUGAAAUGGUUUGUACAAUGUCUGGUGGAACUUUGUCAAAUUACCAACGUGUCAGUUGUGAGGUCUGAACUGAUAAAAUUAUAGAUAGAGAAAAAUCUAUCUAUCUAAGCAUAGAUACAAUUUUGGAUAGAUAAAAUAGAUAUAAUUAUCAGAAAAAUUACACUCUGGGUCAUAUGAUAAGUGACUGGUAAUUGAAACAGUUGACCAUUGGAUUACCUUGGGCAUAAGUCCUAAAUUUUAGCAAUGAGGAGAAAGCAAGAAGUAUUUUAACCAAAGGAAAAUAACUUCAUUCUCUACAAUCAAAUAUUUUCAACAUUAAAAUGAUGUUAUUAUACAUAAAGAAACCUUACAAAGAAUUGUGUAUCUCUUAGAUAUGUGAGUGUCAUUUAAAACUACAUGUGUAAUGGAAAAAAGAGCAAACAUACUGUGUUAAUAUCAUUAAAGGAAUUUGUACUGCAUUUAUUAAAAUAAAUUAGUCUAUAUUCAGAUCCUUGAAUGAUAACUCAAGACUCACUUCUUACUGUGUCUCUGACUUUAAUAGCCUAAACUUCUAUUAUUACUGUUGUAGAUGUAACUGUGUUGGAUAUAAAUCAUUAAAUAGUUUGCAUAUUUUAGGUAAUGAUGGCUUAGAGGGGUGAUUCUCAACCUUCCUAAUGCUGGGACCCUUUAGUACAAUUCCUCAUGUUGUGGUGAUCCCUCAACCAUAAAAUUAUUUUCAUUGCUACUUCAUAAUUUUAAUUUCUUAACUGUAAUUUUGCUAUUGUUAUAAAUUGUAAAUAUCUGUUUUCUAAUGGUUUUAGGUGACCCACAGGUUGAGAACCACCAUACUACUUUAAUUUUGCUAUUGUUAUGAAUCACAAUAUAAAUAUCUGAUAUGCAGCAUAUCUGAUAUAGGACCCCUGUGAAACAUUCAUGACCCUCAUGUUGAAAACCACUGAUUUAGAAAUUGCUUGGUGUAGCAAUAGGUAAGACUAGGAUUUGAAUUCUAGUCUUAGUGCGCCCUCUUCUGUUUACUACUAGGUAAGAAAAAAUAGCUUAAAAUUGGAUUCCUAUAACUGGAUCAGAAUUUCUCUUUCCACGUGUGCAUGUGUAUGGUGCAUGCAUGUAGAUUCACAUGUCCAUGCAUACCCCUCAGGAGGACAAAGUCAAAAUAAUGUGUCUUCUUUUGUCUCCUCCCCACCAUAUUUCUUUGAGACAGAGUCCCUUUCUGAACCUAGAGUUGAACAAUUGACUAGACUGGGUGGUUUGCAAACUCCAGAGAUCUCCCAGUCUCUGCUCCUCAGUGGGGGCAUUACAGGCCUGCACAUCCAUGUUGGCUUUUUAUGUGGGGGCUGAGGAUCUGAAAGCAGACCCUCAUGCUUGCAGAAAAACACUUACCAAUUGAGCCGUCUUCCCAGCAAUUUUUAUAUUUUUAUAAUUAAAUUUCUGAAAUGUGGCAACUAUAAAUGACUAAUUUUAACAGCGAUUAAGCAAUAUACUUAAAGUACCAUUCAUGAUGACCAGGAGCUAUUAAUGUACCAGAAGUUUUUAAAAUAUAUAUGUCUAGAACCAUUUCUUCCCCCUCGUCUCAGAGUCAGGUGUGAGCCCAGUAAGGAAAGGAGAAGGUUUGUGAGGUGAAGUGAGUCAUUCCCUAGCCAUCGUCUCAAAGGCUUUGGUGACAGAUGGCUCGGCAGAUGAAGAAAUUGAGGUACCAAGAGUUUAAUUGGUUUCCUCAAGUUCGUGUCCCUGGCAGAGCGGCUAGGCAUCCAGGCUUUUUCAUCUCCAACUUCUGUCCUCACUCACAUGACGACUAGUAGAGAGGGAAGGAGAGGAGAGGUGCAUAGCAAAGGUGUGUGGUCCAUCUGUUCCGUGGCUUACAACAAAUCUGGUUGGACUUGUAAGUUGUACAGUAUGUAUUGUUAAAACAAUUCAAAUAUAUCCUAAUUUAUAAUUUCUGCAUCUAUUUAAAGAUUCAUAUAUGUAGUAUUUAUGUCAUUUUAUUUAUGUUAUUUCUCUCCUCUCUCCAACA